rnacentral:rRNA from 1 species
GAUGAACGCUAGCUACAGGCUUAACACAUGCAAGUCGAGGGGAAACGUCAUCGAAAGCUUGCUUUUGAUGGGCGUCGACCGGCGCACGGGUGAGUAACGCGUAUCCAACCUGCCCACCACUUGGGGAUAACCUUGCGAAGGUAAGACUAAUACCCAAUGAUAUCUCUAGAAGACAUCUGAAAGAGAUUAAAGAUUUAUCGGUGAUGGAUGGGGAUGCGUCUGAUUAGCUUGUUGGCGGGGUAACGGCCCACCAAGGCUACGAUCAGUAGGGGUUCUGAGAGGAAGGUCACCCACAUUGAGACUGAGACACGGUCCAAACUCCUACGGGAGGCAGCAGUGAGGAAUAUUGGUCAAUGGGCGAGAGCCUGAACCAGCCAAGUAGCGUGCAGGAUGACGGCCCUAUGGGUUGUAAACUGCUUUUAUAAGGGAAUAAAGUGAGCCUCGUGAGGCUUUUUGCAUGUACCUUAUGAAUAAGGACCGGCUAAUUCCGUGCCAGCCGCCGCCGUAA